AGUGAACGCUGGCGGUAGGCCUAACACAUGCAAGUCGAACGGCAGCACAGUAAGAGCUUGCUCUUACGGGUGGCGAGUGGCGGACGGGUGAGGAAUACAUCGGAAUCUACUUUUUCGUGGGGGAUAACGUAGGGAAAUUUACGCUAAUACCGCAUACGACCUACGGGUGAAAGCAGGGGAUCUUCGGACCUUGCGCGAUUGAAUGGGCCGAUGUCGGAUUAGCUAGUUGGCGGGGUAAAGGCCCACCAAGGCGACGAUCCGUAGCUGGUCUGAGAGGAUGAUCAGCCACACUGGAGCUGAGACACGGUCCAGACUCCUACGGGAGGCAGCAGUGGGGAAUAUUGGACAAUGGGCGCAAGCCUGAUCCAGCCAUACCGCGUGGGUGAAGAAGGCCUUCGGGUUGUAAAGCCCUUUUGUUGGGAAAGAAAAGCAGCAGGUUAAUACCCCGCUGUUCUGACGGUACCCAAAGAAUAAGCACCGGCUAACUUCGUG
rnacentral:rRNA from 1 species